rnacentral:rRNA from 1 species
UAAGGAAUAUUGGUCAAUGGACGCAAGUCUGAACCAGCCAUGCCGCGUGAAGGAUUAAGGCCCUCUGGGUUGUAAACUUCUUUUAUAUGGGACGAAAUGUGCCGAUUCUUCGGCACUUGACGGUACCAUAGGAAUAAGCACCGGCUAACUCCGUGCCAGCAGCCGCGGUAAUACGGAGGGUGCAAGCGUUAUCCGGAAUCACUGGGCGUAAAGGGCGCGUAGGCGGUCUGUUAAGUCCGAUGUUAAAUCCCGGGGCUCAACCCCGGAUAAGCGUUGGAUACUGGCAGGCUAGACGGUUGGAGAGGCGAGUGGAAUUACCAGUGUAGCGGUGGAAUGCGUAGAUACUGGUAGGAACACCCAUUGCGAAGGCAGCUCGCUGGACAACACGUGACGCUGAGGCGCGAAAGUGUGGGGAGCAAACC